rnacentral:rRNA from 1 species
GACGAACGCUGGCGGCGUGCUUAACACAUGCAAGUCGAACGGUGAAGCUCCAGCUUGCUGGAGUGGAUCAGUGGCGAACGGGUGAGUAACACGUGAGCAACCUGCCCCAGACUCUGGAAUAAGCGCUGGAAACGGCGUCUAAUACUGGAUGCGAGAUCAAGCCGCAUGGUUAUGGUCUGGAAAGUUUUUCGGUUUGGGAUGGGCUCGCGGCCUAUCAGCUUGUUGGUGAGGUAAUGGCUCACCAAGGCGACGACGGGUAGCCGGCCUGAGAGGGCGACCGGCCACACUGGGACUGAGACACGGCCCAGACUCCUACGGGAGGCAGCAGUGGGGAAUAUUGCACAAUGGGCGAAAGCCUGAUGCAGCGACGCCGCGUGAGGGAUGACGGCCUUCGGGUUGUAAACCUCUUUCAGCAGGGAAGAAGCGAAAGUGACGGUACCUGCAGAAGAAGCACCGGCUAACUACGUG